AUUGAACGCUGGCGGCAGGCUUAACACAUGCAAGUCGAGCGGGGUGAUGGUGCUUGCACUAUCACUUAGCGGCGGACGGGUGAGUAAUGCUUAGGAAUCUGCCUAUUAGUGGGGGACAACAUCUCGAAAGGGAUGCUAAUACCGCAUACGUCCUACGAGAGAAAGCAGGGGAUCACUUGUGACCUUGCGCUAAUAGAUGAGCCUAAGUCGGAUUAGCUAGUUGGUGGGGUAAAGGCCUACCAAGGCGACGAUCUGUAGCGGGUCUGAGAGGAUGAUCCGCCACACUGGGACUGAGACACGGCCCAGACUCCUACGGGAGGCAGCAGUGGGGAAUAUUGGACAAUGGGGGGAACCCUGAUCCAGCCAUGCCGCGUGUGUGAAGAAGGCCUUAUGGUUGUAAAGCACUUUAAGCGAGGAGGAGGCUCUUUUGGUUAAUACCCAAGAUGAGUGGACGUUACUCGCAGAAUAAGCACCGGCUAACUCUGUGCCAGCCGCCGCCGAACAC
rnacentral:rRNA from 1 species